GAUGAACGCUGGCGGCGUGCCUAAUACAUGCAAGUCGAGCGAACAGACGAGGAGCUUGCUCCUCUGACGUUAGCGGCGGACGGGUGAGUAACACGUGUAUAACCUACCUAUAAGACUGGGAUAACUUCGGGAAACCGGAGCUAAUACCGGAUAAUAUAUUGAACCGCAUGGUUCAAUAGUGAAAGACGGUUUUGCUGUCACUUAUAGAUGGAUCCGCGCCGCAUUAGCUAGUUGGUAAGGUAACGGCUUACCAAGGCAACGAUGCGUAGCCGACCUGAGAGGGUGAUCGGCCACACUGGAACGUAGACAGGGUCCAGACUCCUACGGGAGGCAGCAGUAGGGAAUCUUCCGCAGUGGGCGAAAGCCUGACGGAGCGACGCCGCGUGAGUGAUGAAGGUCUUCGGAUCGUAAAACUCUGUUAUUAGGGAAGAACAAAUGUGUAAGUAACUAUGCACGUCUUGACGGUACCUAAUCAGAAAGCCACGGCUAACUACGUG
rnacentral:rRNA from 1 species